rnacentral:rRNA from 1 species
UUCCGGUUGAUCCUGCCGGACCCGACUGCUAUUUGGGUGAGAAUAAGCCAUGCGAGUUGAAUGGGAUACCUAAAGUUCCCAUAGCAAACUGCUCAGUAACACAUGAUCAACUUACCCUAUAGAGAAAAAUAACCUCGGGAAACUGAGGAUAAUGUUUCAUAAUUGAAUUGGCUUGGAAAAGUUUUUCAAUGAAAAGGAUAAAAAAAAUGGUUUUUAUCUGCUAUAGGAUAGGAUCGUGUUCGAUUAUGGUUGUUGGUGAGAUAAUGGCUCACCAAGCCGAUAAUCGAUAGGGGCCGUGAGAGCGGGAGCCCCGAGAUGGGUACUGAGACAACGACCCAGGCCUUACGAGGCGCAGCAGGCGCGGAACCUCCGCAAUACACGAAAGUGUGACGGGGUUACCCAAAGUGUUCAAUAGAACUGUGGUAGGUGAGUAAUGUUCCCUACUAGAAAGGAGAGGGCAAGGCUGGUGCCAGCCGCCGCGGUAAAACCAGCUCUUCAAGUGGUCGGGAUAAUUAUUGGGCUUAAAGUGUCCGUAGCCGGUUUAGUUAGUUCCUGGUAAAAUCGGGUAGCUUAACUAUCUGCAUGCUAGGAAUACUGCUAUACUAGAGGGCGGGAGAGGUCUGAGGUACUACAGGGGUAGGGGUGAAAUCUUAUAAUCCUUGUAGGACCACCAGUGGCGAAGGCGUCAGACUGGAACGCGCCUGACGGUGAGGGACGAAAGCCAGGGGAGCGAACCGGAUUAGAUACCCGGGUAGUCCUGGCCGUAAACGAUGCAUACUAGGUGAUGGUACGGCCAUGAGCCGUAUCAGUG